GACGAACGCUGGCGGCGUGCUUAACACAUGCAAGUCGAACGGGAUCCGGGCGUUCGGGUUUGGUGAGCGUGGCGAACGGGUGAGUAACACGUGAGUAACCUGCCCCCUUCUUUGGGAUAACGUCGGGAAAACGGCGCUAAUACUGGAUAUUCUUGCUGCAUCGCCUGGUGUGGUUUGGAAAGGGUUUCUGGUGGGGGAUGGGCUGGCGGCCUAUCAGCUUGUUGGUGGGGUGAUGGCCUACCAAGGCUUUGACGGGUAGCCGGCCUGGGAGGGUGUCCGGCAACACGGGAACGGAGACACGGCGCAGACUACUACGGGAAGCAGCAGAGGGGAAUAAGGAACGAGGAGCGUAAGCCAAAGGCAGCGAGGCCGCGGGAGGGAUGACGGGCGUGGGGUGGUAAACCUCUGGCAGUAUGGAACAAGGAUCCUUGUUGUGGGGGGUGUGAGGGUACGUGCAGAAGAAGCGCCGGCUAACUACGUG
rnacentral:rRNA from 1 species